AUUAGAUACCCUGGUAGUCCGCGCCGUAAACGAUGGAUGCUGGGUGUCCGGGGCGUUCAGGCCCUGGGUGCCGGAGCGAAAGCGGUAAGCAUCCCACCUGGGGAGUACGCCGGCAACGGUGAAACUCAAAGGAAUUGACGGGGGCCCGCACAAGCGGAGGAACAUGUGGUUUAAUUCGAUGAUACGCGAGGAACCUUACCCGGGCUCAAACGGGGGGCGCGGGCGGCAGAGACGCCGCCGUCCUUAUGGACGUCCCCCGAGGUGCUGCAUGGUUGUCGUCAGCUCGUGCCGUGAGGUGUCGGAUUAAGUUCCAUAACGAGCGCAACCCCCGCGUGCAGUUGCUAACGGGUCAGGCCGAGGACUCUGCGCGGACUGCCGGCGCAAGCCGCGAGGAAGGCGGGGACGACGUCAAAUCAGCACGGCCCUUACGUCCGGGGCGACACACGUGUUACAAUGGGGGGUACAGCGGGAAGCCAGGCGGCGACGCCGAGCGGAACCCGAAAGCCCCUCCCAGUUCGGAUCGAAGCCUGCAACCCGGCUCCGUGAAGCUGGAUUCGCUAGUAAUCGCGCAUCAGCCAUGGCGCGGUGAAUACGUUCCCGGGCCUUGUACACACCGCCCGUCAAGCCAUGGGAGCCGGGGGCGCCUGAAGUGCGGUACCGCGAGGCGCGCCCUAGAGCGAAAUCGGUGACUGGGGCUAAGUCGUAACAAGGUAAC
rnacentral:rRNA from 1 species